rnacentral:rRNA from 1 species
CAGCAGCCACGGUAAUUCGUAGGGUGCGAGCGUUAAUCGGAAUUACUGGGCGUAAAGCGUGCGCAGGCGGUUGUGUAAGACAGGUGUGAAAUCCCCGGGCUUAACCUGGGAACUGCGCUUGUGACUGCACAGCUAGAGUGUGGCAGAGGGGGGUGGAAUUCCGCGUGUAGCAGUGAAAUGCGUAGAUAUGCGGAGGAACACCGAUGGCGAAGGCAGCCCCCUGGGCCAACACUGACGCUCAUGCACGAAAGCGUGGGGAGCAAACAGGAUUAGAUACCCCUGUAGUCCCUGUCUCUUAUAC